rnacentral:lncRNA from 1 species
GCAUUGUUUCAUUUUUCCAAAAAUUUCAGAUAAAUACAAAAAUAGAGAUGUGAAUGCACACAGUUCAGGGGCGCCCAAAAAGUCAUUUUUUUUGUAAGUGGAGGAAGGAAGACCUUUCCCCAGAUUUUAUUAAGAGAUGGAAAAGAAUAUCAGGUACAAGUACAGAGGAUGAAUAGAGGAUGAUGUAGAAGACAGUUGAUCUUAAUGACUGAGUAGAGUGUCAAUCUUCCUCUCUAAGAUUUUGUCCUAUUUUUCCCUUCUCGGUUGAUUGGGGAUUUCUUCUUCAGGAACACCCUACAGUUUCUUUCCAACCAAAUUUGCCAACAAAAUACAAGCACCAUUUGAUCCUAUACUCUGAAAAUAAUGGAUCCUCUCGCAUCUCCAGGUUGUCUACAAUGUCUGUAAGGAAGUUGGCUAACCUCUCCAGGCAAUGCACUUUUUGACAGCUAACCAAACUUCUUUGGAAUAGGAGCAAUGAAUAAGAAGGUGAUUAGUGGUUGC